AGUGCUCCUGAGCUUCUUGUUUGAGCUCGCUUCUUCCCUGUGAAGUGCACUUUCAUUUAAAAUAAAUCUGUGCUUUGGCUUGCCUUGCUUGUGUGCUUUGUUCAAUUCUUUGUUCUAAAUGCCAAGAACCUGGACAACUACCCUCAACCAGUAACAUGUUUUGGCAAGCCAGCCAGGAGAGGCUGUUGUGAUAUCCUGCAUGGACAAGGAAAUGAUGUUCAUCUAAUACACCCACUUGGGAACACUUUGAUGCCAUUGGCUAUGAUUGUCUUUCUGUUUUCCCUACCCCCAUCUCUAGCCCUGUCCCAGUAUGAGAACAUGGAAACUCAUUUUGGAAAAUGUGAAAUGAGUGAUCCCCAAAAGUAGCCUUGCUCAUGACUGGGUGAUUAUAUUAAGGGUGAUUUUUUUUCUUCAUUGUAUUUAGCUGUUUUCCAUUGGGUUUUUUGGCAACAAAUAUAAAAAGUUAGAGUUUUCUUAUUUUUAAAAGACAUGUUGCCUCAUAGAAGUAGAUAAUAUCAGAAAAUGACUUUUUUUGUGUCCAGUGGCUCCAUCUGCCCCUA
rnacentral:antisense_RNA from 1 species